UUUUAUUUUUGGUGUUUUUGG
rnacentral:siRNA from 1 species